CAAGGAUCCAUGGCAGGAUCAAAGCAAACAUAAGCCAAACCGUAAUGAAUAUUCAUUAUCGGCAUCGAAGCCAGCCAAAUACGUCACUCUACUCCACGUGAGCGAGACAGAUAUUUGUAUACAUAUAUCGAUGCUGGGUGUAUAGCGAAAUCAUUUGGGAUGUACCCUUCUGCCUUAUCAUUACCUACUUAUAGAUACGGCACGACAUUGUCCAAGUUUCCUUUCCAAGCUUCAAAUGCAACGUGAAUGUUCAUCGUUUUACAAAGUUUAUUCUUCAGGAUUAGGCUAACAGUUUACAAUUAGAGCAGAGCACACGAAAUGCCGAAAUUGGGAUUGUUCGACUUAAGAUUGGUGGUCGUGAUCUCCAUUGGUUUGGCGACGAUCGCGAGUGCUCAGGUUGACAAUUGCCUGGGCAAAUGUGACGCCCAUCCAACCUAUUACUGCGACGCUUUCACUGGUGUUUGUAACCCAUGCCAUUCGGCGAACGACAGCCCAAAGUGCAAAGGUCUUUUCAGGCCUUCGAAAACAACGACAGAAGAGGCCCUCAAAACCCGAUCAGAGAGAGAGCGUGUGACAGUCAAUCCAAUAAGAUCUAUUAGGCCCAGGCCUGAUAGCAAAGUGGAUAUAAAUGAUCCCGGAGAACAUCGCCAAAACAACAUCGAUAUCGACCUACCAGACCCUUCUCGCAAGGAGGAAAACCACACCAAUAUCCUAAUCAUAGUCGCCUCGGUAACGGUGGUCACACUCGGAGUAGGCGUGGUCAUCGGGAUGCAUCGUCGGUCCCGUACACCGACUGCAUAGCUGCGGCCGGGGACGACUACCACAGACUCUCAAGAUGGCAUGGAAUUAAAAGAGCUUGCAUGCGAGCAAGGAGAAAUCGGAGAAAAGGGAGGAGACAUUCCAGAAUGACCACUCUUUUUCUGCUCAAGAAUAUAAAGUACAUCGGAUCACCCCUCUCUUUUAUAUGUUAUUAUUAAUUUCCCUUUUGAAUGUAAUAUAAAGUACGUGUGUCCCAGAAAACAAAGAAACAGGAUUCCCACAACUUAUUUCGUCAAAGGCAAAUUGAUUAUGAUAUUCCAUUUACAUCAUCAUACAGAUUUUUUGUUCCUACACUUUUUGAUAGCUAGUAUGUGACGAACACUUCUCUCAUUA